UCUAGUAACAAUCUAAAGUGUCACCUGCCCAAUGAUUUUCAAUCAAAAAAAGAUAAUUUCUUUUGAAAAAAAUUAAAAGGACGCAGUAACAUGACUGUGAUAAUGUAGCAUAAUCAUUCGCCAUUUAAUUGAUGGAUAGUAUGAAAGGUAAAACAAAUACCUCACUGUCUCAAGGUGAGAACUCAUGAAAUUGAAAUAAUAGUUAAGAUGCUAUUUAAAAUUGUAAGACGAAAAGACCCUAUAGAGCUUAACUACACUUUUAUCGAAAAUAAAAUUAGGUAGUUUAGUUGGGGCGACUAUCUUCUAAAAAAAACGAAGAUGAACAAAAACAAUAGAAGUUUUAUUGUAUAAUAAAUAAAUUUAACAAUUACUAAAGUAGGUUAUAAUGACCCGUUACAGUAAGAAGAAAAACGUAACGAUUAACAAAUAAAAGCUACCUUAGGGAUAACAGGAUAAUUUUGUUCUAGAGACCUUAUCGAAAACUAAGUUUGUCACCUCUAUGUUGAAUUAAGAUAACCUAAUAACGCAGAAUUUAUUAAGGGUAGGUCUGUUCGACCUUUAAAAU
rnacentral:rRNA from 1 species